rnacentral:rRNA from 1 species
AUGAACGCUGGCGGCGUGCCUAAUACAUGCAAGUCGAGCGAACAGACGAGGAGCUUGCUCCUCUGACGUUAGCGGCGGACGGGUGAGUAACACGUGGUUAACCUACCUAUAAGACUGGGAUAACUUCGGGAAAUCGGAGCUAAUACCGGAUAAUAUAUUGAACCGCAUGGUUCAAUAGUGAAAGACGGUUUUGCUGUCACUUAUAGAUGGAUCCGCGCCGCAUUAGCUAGUUGGUAAGGUAACGGCUUACCAAGGCAACGAUGCGUAGCCGACCUGAGAGGGGGGUCGGCCACACUGGAACUGAGACGCGGUCCAGACUCCUACGGGAGGCAGCAGUAGGGAAUCUUCCGCAAUGGGCGAAAGCCUGACGGAGCGACGCCGCGUGAGUGAUGAAGGUCUUCGGAUCGUAAAACUCUGUUAUUAGGGAAAAACAAAUGUGUAAGUAACUAUGCACGUCUUGACGGUACCUAAUCAGAAAGCCACGGCUAACUACGUG